UGGAAAAUUUAUUUCGGGGAUUUUAUUUCGGGGAUCUGAAAAGAGUCAAAAACACACAAAAAACAGGAACUGGCACUUGGCACUGGAUUAAUAAGUUCGUCCCAAAAAAGAUAUAAAAGGUAAACAAAGCAUCCAAAGUUGACAAGAUAACAGCUUGAAACCAUCAAAAAUUAUAGAUACGUUUGAGACGUAUCAAUGACUUAAUGUGUUCAUUCCACCCCUCCCCUCCACUAUUUAUAGGAGGCAAGGGGCAGUAGGGGGCGCUUCCCUAACCCCUCCUCCAAGGGAGGGUUGGCAGCCAAGAGGGAGGAGUCCUCCCUCCCCAAGGCACCUCCUAGUUGCCUUCCCCUUUGGGGUUUCCUACCCCCUAGCCG
rnacentral:lncRNA from 1 species